GCCUCCAACGGCACAGGACAUAGGGUUGGCAGGACCCCCAGCGGAACCUCCAACGGCACAAGAGUAGGGACUUGAGUGGAGACUCGAGAGGAAACUUGAGAGUUGACUUGAGAGAUGGCUUGAGAGGGAUCUUGAGCGGGAACUUGAACGGAGACUUGAGAGGAAACUCGAGAGGAAACUCGAGAAGUGACUCGAGAGGGGACUUGAGAAGGGACUCGAGAGGUGACUUGAGAGGUGACUUGAGAAGUGUCUUGAAUGGGAACUCCAGAGGUGACUUGAGAAGUGUCUUGAAUGGGAACUCCAGAGGUGACUUGAGAAGUGUCUUGAAUGGUGACUCGAGAGGGGACUCGAGAAGAGACUCGAGAGGGGACUCGAGAGGGGACUCGAGAGCGAACUCGAGAGGUGACUUGAGAAGUGUCUUGAAUGGGAACUCCAGAGGUGACUCGAGAGGGGACUCGAGAAGAGACUCGAGAGGGGACUCGAGAGGGAACUCGAGAGGUGACUUGAGAGGUGACUCGAGAGGGUACUUGAGAAGAGACUUGAGACGGUUGGUUCGCCAACAGAACACGAGGAGCUGGAGUCGGCUGGAGAGCCAGCAGGAGACGAGGUGCUGGAGUCGGCCGGUAUGCCGACAGGACUCGGGGAGCUGGCGUUGGCCUGUAAGCCAGUCCUGGAGACGAAACUGGAGUCGGAACCAUGGGUACUGGGGCCGGUACUGAAGCCAGAACCAUGGCUGUAAGGUCCAGUUCUGGAGCCGGAAACAUGACUGCUGGGGCCGGCACUGGAGCC